AGUUGUUGCUGGUCUCCAAACGGGGGCAUGUGCACGCUCUGUUUGUGCAUCCACUCACACCUGUGCACCUUCUGUAGUUCUGUGGCCUGGGGGACUUGUCCUCCUGCUGUGGUUCUGCGUCUUUACAAUCACGCCGUGAUAAAGUCUAAUGGAAUGCAUGCCGCGUUUAACGCAAUACAAUACAACUUUCAGCAACGGAUCUCUUGGCUCUCGCAUCGAUGAAGAACGCAGCGAAAUGCGAUAAGUAAUGUGAAUUGCAGAAUUCAGUGAAUCAUCGAAUCUUUGAACGCACCUUGCGCCCUUUGGCUAUUCCGGAGGGCAUGCCUGUUUGAGUAUCAUGAACAUCUCAACUCCUCACGGUUUUCCCGUGACGAGCUUGGACUUUGGGGGUCUUGCUGGCCUGCAGGUCGGCUCCUCUCAAAUGAAUCAGCUUGCCGGUGUUUGGUGGCGUCACAGGUGUGAUAACUAUCUACGCUUGUGGUUUUCCGCCAGGUAACCUCCAGCGAUGGGGGUUCACUGGAGCUCACAAACGUCUCUCCUCGGUGAGGACAGCUCUUUGAACGUUUGAUCUCAAAUCAGGUAGGACUACCCGCUGAACUUAAGCAUAUCAAUAAGCGGAGGAAAAGAAACUAACAAGGAUUCCCCUAGUAACUGCGAGUGAAGCGGGAAGAGCUCAAAUUUAAAAUCUGGCGUGCCUAUGGUCGUCCGAGUUGUAGUCUGGAGAAGCGUUUUCCGUGCUGGACCGUGUAC
rnacentral:rRNA from 1 species